CAUGUGUCUUCUUUCUCUGUUUUCCUUUGAAAUCUGUGACUUCACAGUCGUGUGUGUGUGUGUGUGUGUGUGUGUGUGUGUGUGUGUGUGUGUGUGUACAGCCUCCCUCUCUGCUGGAGUCCUAGUGGGCUGAGGCCUCCACAGCAGCUUGCCUGCAUUGCCAAGAGAAGCUUUGAUUUUCUUUGUUCUUCCUGCCUCCCUGGCUGAUUAAGUCAGAGGCUUGGCCUAGGUUUUGUUGGCUGGUGAAUGGAGCCUCUUCAUUGCUCACUGGAGUGCAGUAUCAUUGAUACUUCCUCCCCUGCCUCCCUCCCUCCCUCUCCCAGUGCGACUGAGCUGAUGGGUUAAUCCUGUUGUGUACUUGGAAGUCUUAUAGGCACAAGUGCAAGCUGGGGGUAGAAAAAGAAGGCUAGAGCUGGAAAGGACUAUGGAGACCUUUCUUCCUAUAGUCUAAUCUCUGCAUUUUACUUAAUUGGGUUUAAUUGGGGCCCAGGGCAGAACAGUUAAAAGGUCUGGCCCACAUCUUGGAAGGGGUUAGAGUGAGCCUUGACUGGACUUUCUAGUCUUCUUAGAGGAAAGGCUGCAAGAGCUCUGAUUGCUUUAGUAUUGAAUAAUAACACUGCAUCCAGACAUUGAGCAGUAGCCUGGGCUCUAACCACAGGGCACUGAGACUACAUAUCAGCACAGAACAAUAAGACACCGUGUCUGGAUGCACAGGGGGUAAUUCCUGACCCCAACGCAGCAGUGACACUGCAUCUAGGCACAUUUUUCACAUUAUUAAAAUGAAAUGCCAAACAUGAUGAUAGAAAUCAUGAGUCUUUCUCAGGGAUCAUCAAAGAGAUCUGGAGUACUGUCUAAUAAAACUCAGAGAGCUGUUGGCCCACAUCCUCCAACCUCAUAUCUCUACCCCAAGCCCUUAGGUCUGUGAACUAUCUGGUACUUCUUAGAGACAGUUUGUAGCAUUCAUUACUUCUUGAUGUCAUACACAUGUUUGUUGCCUCUCAUUCCUUAGGACAGAGAGUAUUGGUUCAUUGAUCUCUCCCUCUCGGAUGCCGUCCAUAUUAUGCUAAACACUCAUACUGUACAAAGAGUGGAUAAAUAAAAACUACCUUUCUCUGUGUCACCACUGAAGAGAAAAAAGUAUACUUUAAAUACCAUGGGAAGGGAAGGACCCCCAGUUCAACUAAAUUAAUGCUGCAUCGUCUGGAUUCUUGGUCUCUUUCUGACACUUUCUGUUCCCCGCGAAUCCCCCAAACCCCAAUCUCUGCUUUCCUUUCUUUCUCAGAACAGGUUCUUUUAUCUUCUCAGUGGAGUAUCAAUAGCCAGUGGCUAGGACAGAUCAUUAUAAAUGUGAAAGCUCAUAGCCUGAGUCUCCCAUGCUUCUCAAAAUGGAAUUCCUGGGAAACUUUGACCUUAAGUCUGGCAUGAUGAACAGAAAACAGCCGGAAGCAACAGUAAUAAAGAAUGCUAAAAAGAAAUGAGGUAAAAGGUAGAGAAAACCAGGCUCACGCUUCGGUUGACUUUAACCAUUUAAAUUAAAAACGCACUUUGAAAUGCUAUUUAAUGAUACAUGGAGACCUAAGAGCAUUUCAACUAUUAAAUUCAAACAUUUUACUAUUAUAAAAUUUAUUCUAUGAAAGAUUUAAGCAAAGGAAAUGCAUCAAAAUAUUGUUUUUAGCGUUUCACGUUUAGGAAUAAAAGCCUUACUAAAACCCAGGGUGAGGUGUGUACAGAUGUCGGCAGCGGGACUGCUACUGGUUGUGGGGAUGCAGGUCCAAAUUUUAACAACUCCAAUUUUCAGUUUCUUUUCCUGUGAAAUUCUAUUUCGUUCAAAAGAGCACCCACUUCCGUAUGCUGUGAAGGUUAAAGAUCAUUGCAGAGAGAGCCCAGGGACACAGUGACUACCUGCUAAAAUUUCAAUAGGAAACUUUACACUUCAGUCUUGGUCCACAAAUACUGGAAGCUCCAUGGAGAGGUACAAGGCCCAGGCCCGCUCCUCUCUCCCUUCCUUGCUGACUCACCUGCUGCAGACUGGACUCCAAAGUUGGGGUUUUCCUUCUAAUAACUGUUUGUGGGAUGGAGCACUGGAAACCCCAAGAAGAUCUUGGAAAAAAACCUCAGAAGGAAAUAAGAGGACCCCAGGUCAAGACUACAAUAGAAACGGAGGUGCUGAGCAAAAGUGUUUCUCUAUGGCUACAGUUUGUGCUUUCACAUUUAUUGUUGUUGGUUUUUUUUAAUAUAACUCAUAAAAAUCCAUCAUUUCACAGUGUACAAAUCAAUAAAUUCUAGUACAUUCACAAA